AGUGAACGCUGGCGGCGUGCCUAAUACAUGCAAGUCGAACGAGUGGCGCCCGGGUGGGUAAUGUAUAGCUAAUCUGCCCUCCACUAGAGGACCACAUUUGGAAACGGCUGCUAAUACUCUAUCGUGUAGGAUGGGGGUAUAUUGUAUCAGCUAGUUGGUGAGGUAUUGGCUCACCAAGGCUAUGAAGCAUAACUGGUCUGCGAGGAUGAUCAGCCACACUGUAACGGAGACACGGUCCAGAAUCCUACGGGAGGCAGCAGUAGGGAAUAAUGCUCAAUGGGGGAAACUCUGAAGCAGCAACGCCGCGUGGAGGAUGACACGUGUCGGAGCGGAAACUCCUUUUGUUAGGGAAGCGGUACCUAACGAAUAAGCACCGGCUAACUCCGUGCCAGCCGCCGCGGUAAUUC
rnacentral:rRNA from 1 species